rnacentral:tRNA from 1 species
UCCCCAGUGGCUUAAGCGGUAAAGAAUCCGCCUGCAAUGCAGGAGACCCAGGUUCAAUCCCUGGAUGGGGAA